rnacentral:lncRNA from 1 species
UUUCUUUUGCAGAAAAGUGCGAGAAGGCACUAUAAACUUCAAGAUUCAGUUGAUUGCCAAACGCGAUGAGACUUGGGGCUGGAACGAGAGAACGAGGGACCCGAGCGAGAAGAAAAGAAGUAUCCAGGGGCAAGCUAAUGUUGGAGGAUCAUCUUGAGAAGAAAGGAAGCAGGAGGGCCAAAGUGAAAAAAUGGCAGAUCACACGAGGUCAAAAUCCCUAGACGCCCUGAUUCCCAAAUCAGGCCUGGCAUCUCAUCUAUCUCCCCCGAUCCCUUUCUUCUCCACCACUGGCCGCCGCCGCAGCCAGGCCGGCGUGGGGCGCACCACCGCUCCACUGCGCCUCCACCUUCACCGCGCCCUCCAUCCACCAGCACCUCCAUACACCACCAUCCAUCCACUCCAUCACCACCUCGCGCCGAUGCACCAUCCAUCAGCGCCACCACUCCCCACCAUCACUUCUUCUCUCUCUCUCUCUCUCACGUACUGCUGCACCUUUUCUCUUCUUCCCAAUCUUGCUGUAGUUCUUCCUCUCUUUCAACCUCCUGCUGCUGCCUCCUCUUCUCCAAGCCCCUCUGCUUCUUCUCCAUCACGAAACUGCUUCCCCUCUCUUGCUUCUCCAUCUCCGUGCUGCUGCUCUUCUUCUUCUUCCCCUUGCUACUGCUGCCUCUUCUCCGUUGCAUCUCCCUUAGCGCUGCUGCUGCUGCUUCUCUCUUCUGCGUCCCCUGCUGCUCCUUCUCAACCCCCCUGUUGCCUCUAUUUCUUCUCUGAACCUAAACCCUUGUGGCUGCUAUCUCUCUCUUUGAAAUAACUUGAGACAUAUAUGAUGUGUAACAUUCAGAUUUGUUAAGUGUUAGUAACCUACUUGUUCAAUUUCAGACUUAUGCUUUAUUUGUGGAUGUGUGAACUGGAUCGUGGCAUGUAUCACUCAGUUUGUAUGCUCAAUAAUUAGCUAUAUAUAUCCCCUGUGUGUUGUAGUUGCCGUAGUAAUUUUCAGUUUGUAAUACCUGUGUGAUAUAUAUAAUUCUGUGGUGUUAAACAUUUCUGUCCUUGUCCCAUUAUCUUUGUUCUGUGCUUUUCUUCUUAUAUAUAACUAAUAGUUAUAUUUGUGAUCAUAUAUUGGUACUUCCUUUCUGUCGAUGAUGAUGUCCUGUGUGUGUAUUUUAGUUUCUAAAAUAAUAUGAAAAUACCAAAAAGACAAAGCGAAGAUAAUCUUCAUCUCCUUUGCUUCUGUGUCAUUUCCUUUGUUGAUGAUCUUAGUUAGUCUAGAUUUAAUAUUCUGCUUUCACCACCCAAUAUUGUGUUACCUAGAUUUAGCCGAGCGUAGUCGCCGUCGCCUAGUCCCUGUGGGGAACACGACACUCGCAGUUCGGGCGAAAUAUCCCGCUGUACUUACAACUGAUCAUUUUGGCGCCGUUGCCGGGGACUAGCGUCGAGUGACCGUGUUAGGCUAUAGACUAGGUUUAUUUUAGUUCCUUGUUUAAUUCGUCGUGUAUUUCAUUUUCUGCGAUUCUUUUAUAUUUUUUUUGCUUGUUGUUGCUUCGGCUUAUUAGGAUACUAACAUUCUGACUAGUAUUUACUGUUUAUGAGUGUGCGUAGGAAAUCUGAACUAUUUACAGGUUGAUUGAUAGUUACACUUGGCGGAGAUAUGGCGAUGCUUCGUGAUGUUUGGAUGCCAAGUAGUCAAUGCUAUUUCACAGGGCCGGUUUGGCCAACUAUUGAGGUAGAGAAUUUUGAGCUGAAGCCUGGUCUUAUUGCUUUGGUUCAACAACAUCAGUUUGGAGGGUUGCCUAAUGAAGAUCCUUAUGAGCACUUGCUCCGAGUCAUGGAGUAUUCAGAUACAGUAAAGUACCAUGGAGUUCCUCAAGAAGCUAUCAAGUGCAUGCUGUUCACAUUCUCUCUCCGAGAUGGUGCUCAUGCUUGGUAUCGAUCCUUGCCAUCAAGAUCAUUCGGUUGGAAUGAGAUAUCAUGAGCUUUCUUGGAUAAAUAUUUCCCACUACACAAGCAGUCCGCAAUUCGAGAUGAGAUCUUCAAUUUCGUUCAGCGUGAAGGCGAGAGCUUGAAUGAUGCUUGGGAGAGAUACAGAGCCUUAUUCAGGAGAUGUCCUAAUCAUGGGCUCGAGAGAUGGUUAGAGCUGCAGAUAUUCUAUAGAGGAUUGACUUCAGACACUCGAGCUUAUGUCGAUAUGGCAGCGGGUGGAGCUAUUACAAACAAGACACUUGAUGAAGCUUUUCUGCUGAUUGAGAGCAUAGCUUUCCACCAACUUCAGUGGUACAAUAAGAAGCCCACGUCUGAUUCAUUGGUUUGCUUGCAACAAAUCACUACACCUCAGCCACCAAUUCUUACACAGAAUCCUGAACCUCUAUCUCAGUGUGACAAGAUUGAGCUUGCAUGGAUUAUCUUUGACGAUGAUGACACCAUUCUAGUUGACACACACGCUACAGAUCAUAUGGAUACUAGUGUUGGAGACUCGGUUUUGCAUUGUGAUGAUUCUUCUAUUGAUGAGCCAGAGCUGCAGUUAGUUGUUUUUGAUAUUGAGGAGUCACCUUUAGUUGAUAUUGAUCAUGUGCUGCUAGAGCCAGAUAUGGAGAAGUUCACCUUCGAUGAUGUUAGCCGUAUUGCUUCCUCAACACUUGAGCCCGAGAUGGAGAGCUUCAUGGUUGAGUAUGGUGAGGUGGAUUCAGAUGUCAAGGAGUCAAGCUCUAUUUCACUUGUUGACAUGAAUCCGGUGGAAAUUUCUACUACCACACCUCACUUGGUAUCUUCAAUGGAGGUAGUCCUGAAGCUUCUUCCUAACUAUCUCAGGUAUGAUCUCAGCUUUCUCGACAAGAUAUGCCAUAUUAUGGAUACUGCCUAUGCACCAUGUGACUUGUUGUUGAUACAUGUUCCUGACUUGCUCAAUAGAUAUACUUAUAUGAUAGGGUACUCUAUCGAUGACUUAGAGGGCAUUCUCUCUGUCACAUGUAUUGGCUUGGUUGUUGAGUGUUCUUUCAGGUUGAUGCUUGUGUACCAUUUACUGCGAGUUGACCGAGUUCGAGAUGACAUUCCCUGGAAUCCUGGUGGACUCAGAGCAUGGGGAUGAGGAGAAGCAAGGGGGCACACACGAGGAAGGGAGAAGCUGGAGCAGGCAUGAGGAUAGAGAAGCAAAAGGAGAGGAGCUGCAGUUGGUGAGGUGAUCGAGCGAGUGCUACAUCAUCAAAGCCCGGUGAGAUGUUUCAUGACCCAUUCCGAGUAUAUCAUCCAUUGAUACAUGCUGAAAUCAAAUGUUAUUUGGGUUGCUUAAGCCAUUUCUUAAAUGUCGUCCCACUGAAUCUUACCUUUGACAUAUGAUGCUUGAUGUGAAUAUGUGAACUAAAUCGUGAAUGCCUUGUAAACUAGUGAUCUACAUACUGCUUGCUUUGCUGAAACUAGUGAAAGUUAUUAGUUUUGAGUGCUCAAAUCCCUAGUACACUAGAAAACUUAAUCAUUUUCUUCUUUUACCUCGAUACACCUAGAUCAUUAAGAGUCAGAUGUUGAGUUUGUGCCUAAUGUGUUCCCAUUGAGAGCAAUCACCUAACCACUAUGGAUUAGUAUGCUAUGUUCCCUGGAUCGGUAGCAUGUGAACCAGACAUGGAGAAGUGAUGAUUCCUAUUUUUGUGCUUAUGUGUUGUUCAUUUAAGAUAAGUAAUAAUGAAUAAAUAAGUCUGACUACCUACAGUAGCAUGUCAUGUUCCUGGGAUCAGUGGCAUGUGAAAUCGGGUUAGCUUGGGCAGUAAUUAAUAAUAAAAAAAUGUAAUUGUCGAACCAGGUGUAUACCAUGUUCUCGGGAUCGGUGGUAUGUUCCUUUGGGGAGACAAACAAAAAAACUAAACUAAUAAUUGGUCGAUCCAGGUGUAUACCAUGUUCUCGGGAUCAGUGGUAUGUCCCUUUGGUGAGAUCGAUAAAAUAUUAUCAUUGCUUUACUUCUGUAAAUAAGUGAUUUGAUCACAAGUUUAUGUUCUUUUUUGUGCUCGGGAUCAUGCUCUCUUUAGGAACCUUUGGCACAAUCAUCAUCUGAACUUGUUGAUCCACUUUUAUCAUUGUAAAAGUUUAAAAUGAUUGAGUCUACUAGUAUCCUAUUGCUUUGUAGCACUCUUGACCAUUGAUUUGCACUAGCUAAGUCCAAAGCAUGCAUUGUUUAGAGAUCUACUUCACUUGGCAUUCUCUAGUCAGCUCACUGUUCACUGUCUAGCUCUUGUCAUAUGCCUUUACUUGAGGACAAGUAAAGAUUUAAGUGUGGGGGAACUUGAUAAGCACAUUUCAUAUAUAUAAUUUUGGCAUACAAAUAUACCAUUUGUUGAGUUCUGACAUUAAUUUUUGCUAUGAAAUACUGAAUAUUUGAAUGAUAAUCAUAUAAGAGCAUGUUGACUAGUGAAUUGUUUCUUUUGCAGAAAAGUGCGAGAAGGCACUAUAAACUUCAAGAUUCAUUCGAUUGCCAAACGCGAUGAGACUUGGCGCAGGAACGAGAGAACGAGGGACCCGAGCGAGAAGAAAAAAAGUAUCCAGGGGCAAGCUAAUGUUGGAGGAUCAUCUUGAGAAGAAAGGAAGCAGGAGGGCCAAAGUGAAAAAAUGACAGAUCACACGAGGUCAAAAUCCCUAGACGCCCUGAUUCCCAAAUCAGGCCUGGCAUCUCAUCUCUCUCCCCCGAUCCCUUUCUUCUCCACCACCGGCCGCCGCCGCAGCCAGGCCGGCGUGGGGCAUGCCACCGCUCCACCGCGCCUUCACCUUCACCGCGCCCUCCAUCCACCAACACCUCCAUACACCACCAUCCAUCCACUCCAUCACCACCUCGCGCCGCUGCACCAUCCAUCAGCGCCACCACUCCCCACCAUCACUUCUUCUCUCUCUCUCUCACGCACUGCUGCACCUUUUCUCUUCUUCCCAAUCUUGCUGUAGUUCUUCCUCUCUUUCAACCUCCUGCUGCUGCCUCCUCUUCUCCAAGCCCCUCUGCUUCUUCUUCAUCACGAAACUGCUUCCCCUCUCUUGCUUCUCCAUCUCCAUGCUGCUGCUCUUCUUCUUCUUCCCCUUGCUGAUGCUGCCUCUUCUCCGUUGCAUCUCCCUUAGCGCUGCUGCUGCUUCUCUCUUCUGCGUCCCCUGCUGCUCCUUCUCAACCCCCCUGUUGCCUCUAUUUCUUCUCUGAACCUAAACCCUUGUGGCUGCUAUCUCUCUCUCUGAAAUAACUUGAGACAUAUAUGAUGUGUAACAUUCAGAUUUGUUAAGUGUUAGUAACCUACUUGUUCAGUUUCAGACUUAUGCUUUAUUUGUGGAUGUGUGAGCUGGAUCGUGGCAUGUAUCACUCAGUUUGUAUGCUCAAUAAUUAGCUAUAUAUAUCCCCUGUGUGUUGUAGUUGCCGUAGUAAUUUUCAGUUUGUAAUACCUGUGUGAUAUAUAUAAUUCUGUGGUGUUAAACAUUUCUGUCCUUGUCCCAUUAUCUUUGUUCUGUGCUUUUCUUCUUAUAUAUAACUAAUAGUUAUAUUUGUGAUCAUAUAUUGGUACUUCCUUUCUGUCGAUGAUGAUGUCCUGUGUGUGUAUUUUAGUUUCUAAAAUAAUAUGAAAAUACCAAAAAGACAAAGCGAAGAUAAUCUUCAUCUCCUUUGCUUCUGUGUCAUUUCCUUUGUUGAUGAUCUUAGUUAGUCUAGAUUUAAUAUUUUGCUUUCACCACCCAAUAUUGUGUUACCUAGAUUUAGCCGAGCGUAGUCGCCAUCGCCUAGUCCCUGUGGGGAACACGACACUCGCAGUUCGGGCGAAAUAUCCCGCUGUACUUAUAACUGAUCACGUCAUCAUCACCAUCACCA